rnacentral:misc_RNA from 1 species
GAUGAAGACGUAGCGAAAUGCGAUAAGUAAUGUGAAUUGCAGAAUUCAGUGAAUCAUCGAAUCUUUGAACGCACAUUGCGCCCGCCAGUAUUCUGGCGGGCAUGCCUGUCCGAGCGUCAUUUCAACCAUCAAGCCCCGGGCUUGUGUUGGGGACCUGCGUCCGACGCAGGCCCCGAAAACCAGUGGCGGGCUCGCUGUCCACACCGAGCGUAGUAGCUAACCUCGCUCCGGAGUGGCGCGGGCGCCUGCCGUAAAACCCCCCCAAUUUUACAAGGUUGACCUCGGAUCAGGUAGGAAUACCCGCUGAACUUAAGCAUAUCAAUAAGCGGAGGA